CGGGCUAAACCCGCGUACAUGCCACCGGGGCAUCCCGGAGGCAGGAAAGGCUUCGGCCGGACAGGGAUGGGCAUGCGGCGCAUUAGGCAGUAGGCGGGGUAACGGCCCACCUAACCGACGAUGCGUAGGGGUUCUGAGAGGAAGGUCCCCCACACUGGUACAGAGACACGGACCAGACUCCUACGGGAGGCAGCAGUGAGGAAUAUUGGUCAAUGGUCGGGAGACUGAACCAGCCAAGCCGCGUGAGGGAUGAAGGUACAGAGUAUCGUAAACCUCUUUUGUCAGGGAACAAAGGCGGGGACGUGUCCCCGGAUGAGUGUACCUGAAGAAAAAGCAUCGGCUAACUCCGUGCCAGCAGCCGCGGUAAUACGGAGGAUGCGAGCGUUAUCCGGAUUUAUUGGGUUUAAAGGGUGCGCAGGCGGUCUGUUAAGUCAGCGGUCAAAGCCCGGGGCUCAACCCCGGCCCGCCGUUGAAACUGGCAGUCUCGAGUUGGAGAGAAGUAUGCGGAAUGCGCGGUGUAGCGGUGAAAUGCAUAGAUAUCGCGCAGAACUCCGAUUGCGAAGGCAGCAUGCCGGCUCCACACUGACGCUGAGGCACGAAAGCGUGGGUAUCGAACAGGAUUAGAUACCCUGGUAGUCCACGCAGUAAACGA
rnacentral:rRNA from 1 species